rnacentral:misc_RNA from 1 species
UAGCCCAGAUGGCAGUGGAAAUCCCGGAAUGAGGCGCACGCCGCCUCGGGCGGUGAGCGCCGAGCGAGGAAUUGUAGCGGACAGCGGGACAGGUG